ACAAGCCUAUGAUGGUUAGUUAUCCCUGUCUGAAAAUCUCAACUGAGGGAAAACAAUCUGCUCUGAGGCUUAA
rnacentral:snoRNA from 1 species